AUGGGCGACCUGGCAGGCAGAGACUGCCGGGAGGAGGCGGCAGCGCCGGCGCCGGCGCCGGCCGUAGGCGGGCCCGACCACCUGGUGAUCAUGGUCCACGGGAUCGUCGGGAGCACAGCCGAUUGGAAAUAUGGAGCUGAGCAAUUCCAUAAGUUGCUAGAAGACAGAGUCAUAGUUCAUUGUAGUAACAGCAACAUGCACAAGCUAACUUUAGAUGGCAUUGAUGUGAUGGGUGAACGGUUGGCACAAGAGGUUAUCGAAGAAAUCAACAAAAGACCACAGAUAACAAAGAUAUCUUUUGUUGCGCAUUCCGUUGGAGGAUUGGUUGCAAGAUAUGCUAUCGGAAGACUUUAUAGGCCUCCUGGACAAUCACUUGAAAAUUCUCCUCAAAGUUUGACAGACAGCAACAGAGGCAAUAUACAUGGGCUUGAUGCAGUCAACUUCAUAACUGUUGCAUCACCACAUCUUGGUUCUAGAGGAAACAAGCAGGUUCCUUUCCUUUUUGGAGUUACUGCGAUAGAAAAGUUUGCGUGCUGCAUCAUUCACUUCAUAUUCAGAAGAACUGGCAAGCACCUAUUUCUUACUGAUAAUGAUGAUGGAAAGCCUCCGUUGUUGCAACUUAUGGUGGAUGAUUGUGAGGACCUACGGUUCAUAUCCGCUUUGCAAGCAUUUCAGCGAAGAGUUGCAUACUCCAAUGUUGGUUACGACCACAUUGUUGGAUGGAGGACAUCAUCAAUCAGGGGGGCCUCCGAACUACCCAAGUGGGUUGAUUCGACAAGCAAGAUUUAUCCACAUAUUGUAUACGAGGAACUAUCCAAAGCAGAAACUCUUGAUCAAUGUGCUGAUGUUGCUGAUAUGGACAAGGAUAACUGCACUCUCGAAGAACGGCUUUUGAGAGGACUUAAGCGUGUGUCAUGGGAAAAGGUGGACGUCAGCUUCCAUAAUAGCAAAGCAAGAUCUGCUGCACACAGUGUAAUUCAGGUUAAAGAUCCUGUCGUCCAUAGCGAAGGUGCCGAUGUCAUAAAGCAUAUGAUCGACCAUUUCGUUACCUAG
rnacentral:rRNA from 1 species